UACGUAGGGGGCAAGCGUUGUCCGGAUUUAUUGGGCGUAAAGAGCGUGUAGGCGGCCAAGCAGGUCCGUUGUGAAAACUGGAGGCUUAACCUCCAGACGUCGACGGAAACCGCGUGGCUAGAGUCCGGAAGAGGAGAGUGGAAUUCCUGGUGUAGCGGUGAAAUGCGCAGAUAUCAGGAAGAACACCAAUGGCGAAGGCAGCUGGCUACUCGGAUAUUGACACUGAGGCACGAAAGCGUGGGGAUCAAACAGG
rnacentral:rRNA from 1 species